GAUGAACGCUGGCGGCGUGCCUAAUACAUGCAAGUCGAGCGAACGGACGAGAAGCUCGCUUUUCUGAUGUUAGCGGCGGACGGGUGAGUAACACGUGGAUAACCUACCUAUAAGACUGGGAUAACUUCGGGAAACCGGAGCUAAUACCGGAUAAUAUUUUGAACCGCAUGGUUCAAAAGUGAAAGACGGUCUUCCUGUUACUUAUAGAUGGAUCCGCGCUGCAUUAGCUAGUUGGUAAGGUAACGGCUUACCAAGGCAACGAUGCAUAGCCGACCUGAGAGGGUGAUCGGCCACACUGGAACUGAGACACGGUCCAGACUCCUACGGGAGGCAGCAGUAGGGAAUCUUCCGCAAUGGGCGAAAGCCUGACGCAGAAACACCGCGUGAGUGAUGAAGGUCUUCGGAUCGUAAAGCUCUGUUAUUGGGGAAGAACAGAAGUGUAAUUAACUGUGCACGUCUUGACGGUACCUAAUCAAAAAGCAACGGCUAACUACGUG
rnacentral:rRNA from 1 species